ensembl:snoRNA
AGUAAGUGAUGAAUCUAUCCCAAACCUGAUUUCAUGUGAAUGAAACUCAUAUGGAUCUGACUUCUGAUAU